GUUAUAUGGUCAAGCGAAUAAGCGCACACGGUGGAUGCCUAGGCGGUCAGAGGCGAUGAAGGACGUGGUAGCCUGCGAAAAGUGUCGGGGAGCUGGCAACAAGCUUUGAUCCGGCAAUAUCCGAAUGGGGAAACCCACUGCUUCGGCAGUAUCCUGCAGUGAAUUCAUAGCUGCUGGAAGCGAACCCGGUGAACUGAAAUAUCUAAGUAACCGGAGGAAAAGAAAUCAACCGAGAUUCCCUAAGUAGUGACGAGCGAACGGGGAGCAGCCCUUAAGCUGGAAUGGCUUUAGAAAAACAAUCUGGAAAGAUUGGCCAUAGAAGGUGAUAGCCCUGUAUUUAAAAGGGCCACUCCAGUGAAGACGAGUAGGGCGGGGCACGUGAAACCCUGUCUGAAUAUGGGGGGACCAUCCUCCAAGGCUAAAUACUCCUGACCGACCGAUAGUGAACCAGUACCGUGAGGGAAAGGCGAAAAGAACCCCGGAGAGGGGAGUGAAAUAGAUCCUGAAACCGUGUGCGUACAAGCAGUAGGAGCUCGCAAGAGUGACUGCGUACCUUUUGUAUAAUGGGUCAGCGACUUACUGUUCGUGGCAAGCUUAACCGUAUAGGGGAGGCGAAGGGAAACCGAGUCUGAUAAGGGCGCAUAGUCGCGGGCAGUAGACCCGAAACCGGGUGAUCUAGUCAUGGCCAGGGUGAAGGUGCCGUAACAGGUACUGGAGGCCCGAACCCACGUCUGUUGCAAAAGACGGGGAUGAGCUGUGAUUAGGGAGUGAAAAGCUAAUCGAACCCGGAGAUAGCUGGUUCUCCUCGAAAGCUAUUUAGGUAGCGCCUCAUAUGUAUCCUCUCGGGGGUAGAGCACUGUUAUGGCUAGGGGGUCAUCGCGACUUACCAAACCAUUGCAAACUCCGAAUACCGAGACGGACUGUAUGGGAGACACACGGCGGGUGCUAACGUCCGUCGUGAAAAGGGAAACAACCCAGACCCACAGCUAAGGUCCCAAAUUCACUGCUAAGUGGAAAACGAUGUGGAAAGGCAUAGACAGCCAGGAGGUUGGCUUAGAAGCAGCCACCCUUUAAAGAAAGCGUAAUAGCUCACUGGUCGAGUCGGUCUGCGCGGAAGAUUUAACGGGGCUAAGCAGUGAACCGAAGCUUGGGGUGCAUAAAACGUGUUUUAUGCGCGGUAGAGGAGCGUUCCGUAAGCCUGCGAAGGUGGAUUGAGAAGUCUGCUGGAGGUAUCGGAAGUGCGAAUGCUGACAUGAGUAACGAUAAUGCGGGUGAAAAGCCCGCACGCCGAAAGCCCAAGGUUUCCUUGCGCAACGUUAAUCGACGCAGGGUUAGUCGGUCCCUAAGGCGAGGGCGAAAGCCGUAGUCGAUGGGAAGCAGGUUAAUAUUCCUGCACCUCGCGUGAGUGCGAUGGAGGGACGGAGAAGGUUAGGUGUACCGGGCGUUGGUUGUCCCGGGGAAAGGCGGUAGGUUUGGAUCUUUGGCAAAUCCGGGAUCCUUUAAGACCGAGCACCGAGACGAGCCUUUUGGCGAAGUCACUGAUACCACGCUUCCAGGAAAAGCUCCUAAGCUUCAGCUCACGAAGACCGUACCGUAAACCGACACAGGUGGGUAGGAUGAGAAUUCUCAGGCGCUUGAGAGAACUCGGGUGAAGGAACUAGGCAACAUGGCACCGUAACUUCGGGAGAAGGUGCACCCUUUUGGUGGCUCAUGCGAGCUAUAGCUGAAGAGGGUCGCAGAAACCAGGCCGCUGCGACUGUUUAUCAAAAACACAGCACUCUGCAAACACGAAAGUGGACGUAUAGGGUGUGACGCCUGCCCGGUGCUGGAAGGUUAAUUGAUGGGGUCAGCCGCAAGGCGAAGCUCUUGAUCGAAGCCCCAGUAAACGGCGGCCGUAACUAUAACGGUCCUAAGGUAGCGAAAUUCCUUGUCGGGUAAGUUCCGACCUGCACGAAUGGCGUAACGACAGCGGCGCUGUCUCCACCCGAGACUCAGUGAAAUUGAAAUCGCUGUGAAGAUGCAGCGUUCCCGUGGCAAGACGGAAAGACCCCGUGAACCUUUACUAUAGCUUUACACUGAACGUUGAGUUCGUCUGUGUAGGAUAGGUGGGAGGCUAUGAAACUGUGGCGCUAGCUGCAGUGGAGCCAUCCUUGAAAUACCACCCUGUCGUGCUUGACGUUCUAACCUAGGUCCGUUAUCCGGAUCAGGGACCGUGUAUGGUGGGUAGUUUGACUGGGGCGGUCUCCUCCUAAAGAGUAACGGAGGAGCACGAAGGUACGCUCAGCGCGGUCGGACAUCGCGCACUGUGUGCAAAGGCAUAAGCGUGCUUGACUGCAAGAUCGACGGAUCAAGCAGGUACGAAAGUAGGUCUUAGUGAUCCGGUGGUUCUGUAUGGAAGGGCCAUCGCUCAACGGAUAAAAGGUACUCCGGGGAUAACAGGCUGAUACCGCCCAAGAGUUCAUAUCGACGGCGGUGUUUGGCACCUCGAUGUCGGCUCAUCACAUCCUGGGGCUGUAGUCGGUCCCAAGGGUAUGGCUGUUCGCCAUUUAAAGUGGUACGCGAGCUGGGUUCAGAACGUCGUGAGACAGUUCGGUCCCUAUCUGCCAUGGGCGUUGGAAGUUUGAGAGGGGCUGCUCCUAGUACGAGAGGACCGGAGUGGACGAACCUCUGGUGUUCCGGUUGUCACGCCAGUGGCAUUGCCGGGUAGCUAUGUUCGGAAGCGAUAACCGCUGAAAGCAUCUAAGCGGGAAGCGCGCCUCAAGAUGAGACUUCCCGGGGCACAAGCCCCCUAAAGGAACCAUGUAGACUACGUGGUUGAUAGGUCAGGUGUGUAAGUACAGCAAUGUAUUGAGCUAACUGAUACUAAUGAUCCGUGCGGCUUGACCAUAUAACCUCA
rnacentral:rRNA from 1 species